AACAGCAUGGGCCUAAACUAGUACUAAGCCCAAUCAGGGAGAGUGUAUGGACAUGGAGGGAGUGUGUGCAUGAAGCAAACAGAUUUUUCUUGGGCCUAAAUGUGAAACCUAAGGCCCAAACAGGAUUGGAUGAAGCCCGAAUGAAUCUUAUCUUCUUCUUCACUUCAGUAUCGCACAGAAGUAGAAAAAAGGGCGGAGAUACCGAAACGCUCCGCUUCUUCGCCGGCAGCGGCACUCACACGGCGUCUCCGUUUCCGACCUCUCUUCACCAAAACGAAGCGACCUCUACUUAACCCAACCAAAGCCAACGCGAUGCGGAAUAUUACCGGCGAAUUUUGUGUUCAGGUUAUUGCGAAGCUUUCUGUUAUGAGGAGAUUGUGAAGGCUUCAUGGAAUCAAAUGGAGAUGAAGACUCGAUGCCGGUUAGGGAGGUUGAAGAAGAAAAUCGGGAUUCUGUUAGCAGAAGAGAAGGAGAGAAGAAAAAUUCUGGAAUAAAACUGGAGAGAGAGCCCAAAUCAUAUUGUAAUAGUGUAUUUAUAUAAUUUGAGAGUGAAUUUUGGAUGAUUCUCAAUUUUUUAUUAUGAUUCAUUUUUCUUUUC